rnacentral:rRNA from 1 species
AACGAACGCUGGCGGCAGGCUUAACACAUGCAAGUCGAGCGCCCCGCAAGGGGAGCGGCAGACGGGUGAGUAACGCGUGGGAAUCUACCCAUCCCUACGGAAUAGCUCCGGGAAACUGGAAUUAAUACCGUAUACGCCCUACGGGGGAAAGGUUUAUCGGGGAUGGAUGAGCCCGCGUUGGAUUAGCUAGUUGGUGGGGUAAAGGCCUACCAAGGCGACGAUCCAUAGCUGGUCUGAGAGGAUGAUCAGCCACAUUGGGACUGAGACACGGCCCAAACUCCUACGGGAGGCAGCAGUGGGGAAUAUUGGACAAUGGGGGCAACCCUGAUCCAGCCAUGCCGCGUGAGUGAUGAAGGCCUUAGGGUUGUAAAGCUCUUUCACCGGGGAAGAUAAUGACGGUACCCGGAGAAGAAGCCCCGGCUAACUUCGUGCCAGCCGCCGCAGUAAGAC